rnacentral:lncRNA from 1 species
UGAGUUGGAUAGGGAGAUGGCAGCUUACCAAGGCCUGCCGGUUCUCAGCUCUAGAGUCGGCCUCAUGGUCCGAGCAGGAUUUAUUUUUAAGAACAGAGCAACGUUACGUGGAAGCAAGGAAGGUUUUGAGGACAGAGGUUUGGGUCUCCUAACUGCUAGUCGGGACUGUGAGAAGGGAGUGAGAGUGUUGGCACCUGUAAGAUCCAACUUAGAAAUAAUGUUUCAUUCAAGAUAAGGCUCGUGGUUUAGGAGAUUGUGACCUGGCUUGCAUCAUUCUAAGACUUCUAUCAUCGGUUUUCAAAACCCAAGGAGGACCUCAUUCUCUGUGUGAUAGUUCCUCAUGCUUUGCCAGCCACUGGGUCUUUAAGGAAGCUUGCCAAGAGUUCCCAGCUGGGAAGGACAGUUCGAGUUCAUCAUAGACAGUGAGCUGGCACCACAGUUUAAGUGACUCACCAACCUGGUUGUCCACUUCAAAAUGUCAAGAACCGCACUAUCUAAUUGAAAGAACUGUGUUUUAGCAAAGUGUAAUUGGAUCGCAUGGCAAGAUCAUCUCAAACUAUGUCUCUGACCUUGCCUUUCAGUGGCUGUUUGGAGCACAAGAGGAGAAAGGAAAUGAUUCCUGAAUUACAUAUUGCUUUUAAAAAUUAAGAUUAAUUAGUGGCCGGGCGCGGUGGCUCAAGCCUGUAAUCCCAGCACUUUGGGAGGCCGAGACGGGCGGAUCAGGAGGUCAGGAGAUCGAGACCAUCCUGGCUAACACGGUGAAACCCCGUCUCUACUAAAAAACACAAAAAACUAGCCCGGCGAGGUGGCGGGCGCCUGUAGUCCCAGCCACUCGGGAGGCUGAGGCAGGAGAAUGGCGUAAACCCGGGAGGCGGAGCUUGCAGUGAGCUGAGAUCUGGCCACUGCACUCCAGCCUGGGUGACAGAGCAAGACUCCAUCUCAAAAAAAAAAAAAAAAACAAAUUAAGAUUAGUUAAUAAAUACUUGGUUUUAUGUUC